AAUCAACGCUGGCGGCGUGCCUCAGACAUGCAAGUCGAACGAUUAAAGCUCUCUUCGGAGAGUGCAUAAAGUGGCGCACGGGUGAGUAACACGUAAGUAAUCUACCUUCGAGUGGGGAAUAACGUCCGGAAACGGACGCUAAUACCGCAUAACGCAGCGGCAUCGCAAGAUGACAGUUGUUAAAGAUUUAUCGCUUGAAGAGGAGCUUGCGGCAGAUUAGCUUGUUGGUAAGGUAACGGCUUACCAAGGCUACGAUCUGUAACCGGUCUAAGAGGACGGUCGGUCACACUGACACUGAAUAACGGGUCAGACUCCUACGGGAGGCAGCAGUCGGGAAUUUUGGGCAAUGGGGGAAACCCUGACCCAGCAACGCCGCGUGAAGGAUGAAGUAUUUCGGUAUGUAAACUUCGAAAGAAUAGGAAGAAUUAAUGACGGUACUAUUUAUAAGGUCCGCUGACUACGUGCCAGCAGCCGCAGUAAU
rnacentral:rRNA from 1 species